rnacentral:rRNA from 1 species
UACGGGGGGUGCGAGCGUUGUCCGGAAUCACUGGGCGUAAAGGGCGCGUAGGCGGUGCAAUAAGUCAGGCGUGAAAGCCCCGGGCUCAACCCGGGAACUGCGCUUGAUACUGUUGCGCUUGAAUCCAGGAGAGGAUGGCGGAAUUCCCAGUGUAGAGGUGAAAGUCGUAGAUAUUGGGAAGAACACCAGUGGCGAAGGCGGCCAUCUGGCCUGGAAUUGACGCUGAGGCGCGAAAGCGUGGGGAGCAAACAGG